rnacentral:rRNA from 1 species
AGGUCACACCUGCCCAGUGAAAUUUUUAACGGCCGCGGUACCCUAACCGUGCAAAGGUAGCGCAAUCACCUGCCCCCUAAUUGAGGGCUAGUAUGAAUGGUUCGAUGAGGGCCUAACUGUCUCCUGAGGCCAAUCAAUGAAAUUGAUCACCCAGUACAAAUGCUGAACUAACCCCACAAGACGAGAAGACCCUGUGGAACUUUAAAUUUCUAUGUUAGAGAUCCCAACCUUACAAGUGAUCCCCUACCAUAAAUUUUCAGUUGGGGCAACUAUGGAGCACAACAGAACCUCCAUUAACGUGACUAACCCUCACGCCCAAGGCCCACAAGCCAUCACACCCUUAAACCAGACCCAGUCAAACUGAUCGCCGAACCAAGCUACCCCAGGGAUAACAGCGCUAUCCCCUUCAAGAGUCCAUAUCGCCGAGGGGGUUUACGACCUCGAUGUUGG